UCAUAUGACUUGUGAAGGUUCAAUAUAAGAAGGAAAUUUCUACUAAUUGGAGCUCUUUGAAAAUAGAACAGACUGUGUCUAAAAGUUGUGAGUUUCCUCCAGAUACAGGUACUGGCUCAGAAGCUAAAUAUCAUGAGCUUCUUCUAAGGCAAAAGCUAUUUUUCAUUUACUUUAACAUUGAGGUCCACUGGAGAUAGCAAAGGAGACAUGGAUGAUUCCGUCUUGCUGGCUAAGCUACAGAGUACUCCCUUUCACUGACUUGGAAGAAGAAAACUGUCAUGUUUCAGUAAGUGGGCAUAAUGGAGAAGUCACAUAGCAAGAAACUGCAGGGAGACUCUAGAAGAUAAAGGUAGCUUCCAACAAGAAACCAAAGCCCUUAGUUUUACAGAUGCAAAGAAAUUAAUUCUGCCAAUAACUUGAGGGAACUUGGAAAUGGUUCUUUCCCCAGCUGAGCCUCUCUGAUAAGACUGCAGUCUCAGAUGACAACUGGAUUGCAGCCUCCGGAGACUCUGAUCAUAAUACUGAAAUAAGCUGUGCCCAGACUUCUAUAAUACAUGUGUGUUUUGGACUUCGCUGGAGGUACAGUGGUUA